CAGUCGCCGCGGUAAUACGGAGGGUGCAAGCGUUAAUCGGAAUUACUGGGCGUAAAGCGCACGCAGGCGGUCUGUCAAGUCAGAUGUGAAAUCCCCGGGCUUAACCUGGGAACUGCAUUUGAAACUGGCAGGCUAGAGUCUUGUAGAGGGGGGUAGAAUUCCAGGUGUAGCGGUGAAAUGCGUAGAGAUCUGGAGGAAUACCGGUGUCGAAGGCGGCCCCCUGGACAAAGACUGACGCUCAGGUGCGAAAGCGUGGGGAGCAAACAGGAUUAGAUACCCCAGUAGUCCCUGUCUCUUAUAC
rnacentral:rRNA from 1 species